rnacentral:lncRNA from 1 species
UUCAGUUAUAAAUUGGUCAAAGGGAUAAGAAAUCCCCAAUUUCUGCCAUGUGUCUAGGAAUUAGGCACGACCACCGACCGGAGGGCCUAACUCAUCGGCCAGUACAGUCUACCGGGGGCGUUGUUGGCUGAGGGCCCGAUGCCGCGGGAGUGGUCAUGGUGGCGUUGUUGUGCUCGGCCAGAGGGUGGAGUGAUGCCUCGGCUGCCGUUGCCGGGAUACAUACACGCCAUGCGCCGGUGGAGGGAGGAACCCAUCUUGGCCGAUGACCACUGUGAUGCCUUGACGUUUGCCGCCGUUGCCGGAGGGAGCCGUGCCUGGGGUGCGUUGCGCUGAGCGCCGGUCAUGGGAGAAAUCGUAGGAAUUGCGUCGGAGGGCACCGGCUCUUGUCCGAGCGCCAAGCAGAGGGUUGGGGCCGCUGAGGAGCCUCGCUGAGGUCUACAACCAUGGUUUUGGCUUGUGCGCUGGGGCUUCCACGCUGCUAUGGCAAAGGCCAAAGGUACUUAAUCAAUAAUAUUUAUUGCGUACAUGAUUGAAAUCAGUAGAGAAGACACCUUUUCCUGUAGCAAUUAUAUCAAAACAUUGGUAUGCUUGAUCGCCUCCGAGAAGAGCCCCACAAGGAUUUUGCUUUCACUGUCAUCAGAGGAGUCGCUUUUAUUAUAUGCCGACUCCUCACAUCUUCUCCUUCACUAUUCUUCCUGAAAAAGGACUUGUUAUGUGCAUGAAUUAAAUAGGAAAAAGGAACACGCUGUUAGACUCCCAUUUAUCUUUUCUUGAGGCCAGCGCUGCGUCCAGUGUUCGAUGUUGAAGAUCGCCGGAGUUGCAUUUGUUUAUGUGGAGGUCGGUGUCGUUCAUCGCUUGUUUCCGCUGGCGUCGUGUGAUAGGCUGAUUCCCUUCUCUCUGUGACCAAAUCACUCAUGCGGAGAGCAAAGUGCAUAAUAACGUGUUUGAAGUAGAAAGUAAAGAACGAGAGAGAUGAAUGAAAG